GCAGGCCGGCAGCGGGACGCGGGGCGGGGGAGGCAGUGCGAGGCAGUGCGGAAAGAGUUAAGGGAAGGUGGCGGGGCAGGCUGGCUGUCGGGAGCGAGCAUGUGCAGAUUGAAACCGCAUCCAUACUACGGGCGAGUGUCACUGGCACACUUCACCUCCCGCCGGCCGCGGGGCACCCAUGGGCACCGGAAGGCUGUCUGGUUGCUGUACUAGCUGUUGGUCACACGCACCUGGGCUGAAAACGACUGGCAUCUGAAACCCCUUGGACCUGCUGGAGGCAGUCUAGUCUACCUGCGGAUGUUGUGAAUUAGGAGCUGGCCAAAGAGUGGGAGAGCUCCAGGAUCCCUCCCUGGAAAAGAGCACUGCUGGGGUGAGUGCAGAAGAAUGGCUGCGGCAGAACCUCUGACCGCUUUCUCACGAUGGUACCUCUACGCCAUCCACGGCUAUUUCUGUGAGGUGAUGUUCACAGCUGCCUGGGAGUUCGUGGUCAACUUCAACUGGAAGUUCCCAGGUGUUACCAGUGUGUGGGCACUCUUCAUCUAUGGCACCUCCAUCCUCAUUGUGGAGAAGAUGUAUCUGUAUCUCAAAGACAAGUGUAACAUUUUAGUGCGCUGCUUCAUUUACACACUAUGGACAUACCUCUGGGAGUUCACCACUGGCCUCAUCCUACGCCAGUUCAAUGCCUGCCCAUGGGACUAUUCCCAGUUUGAUUUUGACUUCAUGGGCCUGAUCACCCUGGAGUAUGCCAUCCCAUGGUUUUGUGCUUCUUUCAUCAUGGAGCAGCUGGUGAUCAGAAACACGCUGCGCUUACGGUUUGAUGAGACUGCCGAGCCCGGGGCCCCCUCCGCGCCCGUUGCCUUGGCCAACGGCCACGUGAAGACAGAUUGAGCUGUGACUUAGAGCCAUACUUAGCAGUCUGAGAGAGCCCAGACCUCUACCAUGGACAGUCAGCUCUGGCUCUGAGGUACUGCUCCUUGCUGUAUUAGAUUCAUAAACCCCAUUUUUCUAAUGCGGGUGUGCAUGGGAUAUACCAGAAAAAAAUGGAACCAAUAGAUUUUCUAUGGAUUUUACUCUUUGGGCUCCAAGGACCAAUAUCAGUUACUUGUUAGUUAGGUUGUUUCUGAUUUUAACUUAUUACUGAUGAAAGCAGUCCUUUUGCUUACACUUUAAAGUGAAGAAAGAAGAAAAAAAGAAAUGCUACAGCGGAAAUGCAUCCAAAAAAAACCCCACCUAAUCAGUGGAUGGGCAUGGACACGCCAGCUGAGUUAGUGAUUGGCUUACUCCAUUAGGCAAUAUUCAGGUGCUUGCUUGCAACCAAUACCUCCCGUGGGACCUGAGAUGCUGCAGGAACAAGCAAAAUCCAUCUGCUGUUGAGAAGUACCUAAGACUGGCAGUCUGCUGGGGAGAACUGCCCAGAGCACGUUACCAGGACCUCAGUGGCAGCUCAGUGAGAGCUCGGGAGCUGGACUGAAGUUGAAGAGACAUUUAAAUUAAGAAGAAAAAAAACGCACAAGGCCUAACAUUUGUUUGUAUGUGUAUCUUCCUCAGUAGAUUAAAGUUGCCUGUUUUGAGUUCACCAGCAAUAAAAAAACCUUGUGAUUUAUCUACCUUGUCCUAACUGCAGCAUAUAGAAAGUGACCCUGAUCUCUGCCUUUCUUUUCCAGGGGUUGGUGGGAUAUGGACUCCCCAAGGUUCCAGUUUUGCUUCUGUUCUCUUGCUUAUCUUAUGUACAGUCCACUCUAAAGGAUCUCAGAACAUCUGAUAAAUAAAUACAGAGUCUGGUGUCGGUCACACAAGAGGCAGUUUAAGCAUUACUGUGGUAUCUGUUCAUACUCCAAAGAUCUUGCCAGAGGGGAAUGUUUGAUCUACAGCAGGACCAGAUGGCAUUUUGGUCUUUUGUGUUAUAAUUGAGAGAAAUGUGUACAUACGUACCAGGUACUAUUGCGCCUUUGGUCUGAGUGCAUU